rnacentral:rRNA from 1 species
UGGGGAAUAUUGGACAAUGGGGGCAACCCUGAUCCAGCAACGCCGCGUGAAUGAAGAAGGUCUUAGGAUUGUAAAGUUCUUUUGCCUGGGAGCAAAUAUUUUUAGUUAAAAGCUGAGAGUUAUGAGAGUACCAGGAGAAUAAGCACCGGCUAACUACGUGCCAGCAGCCGCGGUAAUACGUAGGGUGCGAGCGUUAAUCGGAAUUACUGGGCGUAAAGAGUGCGUAGGCGGAUAUAUAAGUUAGAUGUGAAAUACCUGAGCUUAACUUGGGAGGUGCAUUUAAGACUGUAUGUCUAGAGUUUGUCAGAGGGGGGUAGAAUUCCAAGUGUAGCAGUGAAAUGCGUAGAGAUUUGGAGGAAUACCGAUGGCGUAGGCAGCCCCCUGGGAUAAGACUGACGCU